UACGAAGGGGGCUAGCGUUGCUCGGAAUCACUGGGCGUAAAGCGCACGUAGGCGGCUUGUUAAGUCAGGGGUGAAAUCCUGGAGCUCAACUCCAGAACUGCCUUUGAUACUGGCGAGCUUGAGUUCGGGAGAGGUGAGUGGAACUGCGAGUGUAGAGGUGAAAUUCGUAGAUAUUCGCAAGAACACCAGUGGCGAAGGCGGCUCACUGGCCCGAUACUGACGCUGAGGUGCGAAAGCGUGGGGAGCAAACGGG
rnacentral:rRNA from 1 species